AGCUGACGAAGGCGCCGUCGCCGUUGCCCAGAGGGAAGGCGGGCUGCAGAGCCACGGGCCGGGCGUCGGAGCGGCAGAACUUGGGUGCCAAGCUGAGCACGUCGCCGCCGACCCCGCCGCUGCUGCUGCAUGACACGUACUCCAGAUCUGGGGACCCUUCACCUGCCUCUACUACUGCAAAUGAUUGGAUAUUCGUCUGACUUGGCUCUUCCCUAAUGUGUGGAACUAAUUUUGUUCACUCUGUUUCAUGCUGGACCUGGCCUGAAAAUGGGCCCUUAUAUUGUCUUUGCACUUUCCAACUUGCCAAGUUUCUGAAAGAAGGACCAAAGUAAUGCCAAGAACUCCCAGAUGAAGAGGACCUUCCUUAGACCUAUAACAGAUUCACUACUUGACUUCAGAGGGAAGUUUCAGCUAAUUCUCAGGAAAAGGUCAAAACAGGCCUGUGACUGUCCCUUGAAUACUGAAGGUAUAAACAAGCUUCUGGCUCCUCCAGGUCAAGCAGAGGAACACUUUUAUUAGAAUGAAGGGUUACUUCUUUGUUAUUCAAACACACACCCACACACAUCCUCUGUAGUCUCCCUAAUGAAAAACCUCAACAGAUGGAGAGCCUGAGCUCCCAAGUCCGCAGGCUGAGAAGAUGCACUUCACUCAAGGGCCAGUGGGCUGGUACAGACUAGGGAAGAGAAAAGGGACAAAGGCUGCUAGUAUAGGUAAUCACUAUCUUUUAAUACUCCUAACACAUAGAAAUUCGAAAAAUCUUGUUCAGCAAUGUUAGCAGCCUGUGAGCCUCGGAAACUAAUUUGGCUGAUGUGUCUCUGAUAGGGAGCUUGGGGCUGCACCAAGGGGAAACAUUCUCCUCCUGUAUUCUCUCCUCUCUCUCGUUUGAAAGCCUGUACAAAGAAAUGGUACAAAUGGAUGGUUAACUUAAUGAUUCCAUCAGAGGCAGAUUUUUCUCUGUCAGGUCCCUGGAUAAGGUGGAGGUCUGAAAGCCAGGAGACAGAAUAUGUACUUAAUCGCCCUUUCUGACCUGCUUACCAGUGACCAGGACUACUCUCCAGGCCUUUCUUCUGCCACUUCCCCAUUCUUCCUGGCUAGUUCAGUUGGGUCUCAGCACUUCAACUCCUGGCUGGAUCCUGAGUUUUUCUUGGUUGCAGGGAAAGCUCUCACUGUCUGCAUCUCCUUCCCCACCCCCACCUCCCGUUUUGCAGCUGGCCAUUCUGGCUGCCUCACAGCUAUCCUGCCUUAAUUCAUAUUUGAUUGCCUGGACAGAACCACCUAGAAUGUCCAGACGACUGCCACCCCUCAGCCAUGGGCCUGAGAUCCUGCCCUGACCCCUUUCUUCAGACCCCAGGAGGACCCACAAUCUCCCUGAUCCCCACCUUCCCCAAAGUAGUCUCUAGGAAAAAAGCAGAGCUGGCUAAGGCCUGAGACAGAGCCAUUUCUUCCCCUUGGGCAAACGAGGUAGACCCUCCCAGAGACCAAUGCCGGAGAGGCCCGGAUCCGAGCUCCCUUUAUAUGGCCUCCCCCAUCACGGAUCCCGUGGGAAAACCUGACACACAAUGGCGCGGCUGCUCCGGGCACCCUCAACCCAGCGCCCUGCGGCAAGGCCUGGAGCAGCCUGGUGGUCUUGGUGCGCUCCCUUUGCCCUCCCCGCAACCCUCUGCGAGCACUCGUCCCAGGAGAGAGACCCUGGCUAGGGUGGAGGUUGCCUCCCGCAAAGGGCGCUGUUGCUGGGGCCUCCCCUCCCCCAUUCUCUUGUUUUUCUGCUUCUGAGACUCGGGAGGGAGGCGGCAGGCGCCUCCGCAGCCGAUAGAGCAGCUAUUGUGACCUUCCCUUGCAGAGCGGGAACCCAGCCGAGUGUGUACCGCCGGCGGUGGCGGGGGAGGAGGCGACUGUGUGUGCAAACCUCAGUCGGAGAGGGGGUGGCGCUGGGAAAUAAAGGUUUGCAACCUCAGGCAGUUGGGCCCUUCAGAGGGCGUUUGGUUGUGUUUAGACUCGGUUGCUUUCUAACACUAAUUGCAGGCUCAAAAGGAGCGGAAUUUAUUGCGAAGGCCAAGGCGGCUUGUUUAUAAUUUAUGAAGUUUUAAAUGGCUGUGCCGCGGGCCCCAACUUUCUCCUGGGCUGGCAGCCGCGCGGAAACGCGCCCUCCCCCGGCUCGCCGCCCACCCCCACCCACGCCCCUCAGAUGAGUCUCACGCCAAUGGCAGGAACAGAUCCGAGCUAUUAGAAGUCUCGGGAACCUCCAGAGAUGACAGAAGGUGGCAGAUUUGGUCCAAGCCCUCACCCCACUCGAGAGGAGGGCGUCGGGGAAAGCUGUGGCUGCCUGGAGAGGGAGCCCCUGAUCCCACACUUCCUUGGAGCCUGAGUGUGAGAGGAAGCUAAUGUCAGCCGGGCUAGACACCGUUUAAAGUCUAAUCCAUGAAACCCUAAGCCGCAAAUGACACUUGGGGCUUUGCAGACACCCGCAGACUCAGCAGAUACUCCUGCGGUAACACACUGUGCUGGAAAACGCCUGGAGCCAUGACACAUUACGUAUUUUUAUUAUUAUUUAUGGUAGGAAGAGGAGAUGAGGGAAAAUCGGGCUGAAUCUAAGCAGCCUGACAAUUCAGCUAGUUAAUAUUUAGCCAGUUAAGAAAGGUGGUUGUAAUCCCUGCAAGGCAGUGAGCUCUCCUUUGAUUUCUCUAAUAGCUUAAAAAAUAAUUUCUUACAAGACAAUUAGAAAUUCUGCCUAUGGAUGCAAAUUUCAUAGAAAACAAUGUUAAGCCUUGAAAGUGGGUAAAAUGUGCCUUCGAUUGAAGUCAUUUAUUCUGUUGAUACACUUCUACAACAUAUAUAUUUUAAACCUGCUCAGAUAAAGUGAAAUUUAGCAAAAGGAUAUCCCCUCCCACCCCCAAAUCUAACAUGCCAUUUUAAAAACAGCACAAAGGAACAAGGAAACUAAAUAUUAUUUUGAGCCAUCAUUACUUAGUGAAAUACAAACAUCCAAAUAGAAACGAUUGUUGUUCCACCAGAAGAUUAGAAGUUAAAUUAUUUCCACACAAUAGGAAUUUCACUUCGUGUCAUCGGGGAUGUAGUAGGAGUUGCAUUAUUUGUCAAACCAAAUAGAGAUGCGUGGGCUGACUUUGCUGAAAUACAAAAGAAUUGAACCUUAUCUGAAGGCGUUUUCUAAGUGGCCCCUCCCAUAGAAGCCGGGAAGUUGUCCACCCCUAGCAGAAGCCACAUUAAUAUUUACAAAAUGGUUAUAAAUCCUUGAAGACAUUUUUGCCCAUUUUGUAUAAGAAACAGGAGUAAACAAGGUGUUUAUACUUGUUAUGUUUCAUUAAUGAAAUAUUAUUACUUUACAUCUUGGGGAAUGUUUGUUUUCUUUAGAAAUGAACUAAUGAUCACUACAAAGGAAGAAUUCAUGACAGCAUUUCCUAGAGAAAAAGCUUAGGUACGCGUCUCCAAAUGAUGGUUUCUUUUUCUACACCUUAGCUUUUUCAUAGCUCAAUUCUUCUUACAACUUCUCUUGUGUUUUUUCUUUGAUUGUCAGUUUUCUUUCAAAGUUUAUUUUUUGUUACUUAAUGCAGAAAAGUGAGCUCUGGUCUCCCCAGUGUAAAAGUCGAUUGUGUCUAGAAAGAAGGCAGUAAAAACAGCAAAGCAGGCGCUGCUUUCAAAAAGCCCUGCCCAAAUCAUCCCGCCCAGAACCUUCUUAGGUUUGCAUCCUCAUUUCCCCCUCCCCUAAUUUCAAUAGCUGGAAAGUAAUCAAGUAUCCCGAGAACCAAUUUAUGCACUAGACUCCAAAUAAAUAAAAUAUUUUUUUCAA
rnacentral:lncRNA from 1 species